UUUUUUUCCCCCUUGGCCAGGUUUUCUGCUUUGUUUUCAUGUUUCUGUCCGUCAGUUGAUUGAAAUGUAGUGGAAAACUAUGGAAGAAAACAAACAGUUCACAUCCAUUGUUUGUCAAUUUGAAUGACCUCACUUACCUCAAUAACCAUGUACACACUCAAAGUCAGAGUUUAUCUACAUAGCAUUUCCAGCAGAGACGGGUAAAGUUUAACUGAAGAACCAUGCAUUGUUAUGUUCUCAUCACAUUUCGUAUAAACUUCCAACGGAUUGAUUAGUUUUAUUGCCUGACAGAAGAUGGAAAAUGAUUGGAUCUGGACUCCUGUCUAUUCUAACAAAUACUAAAGAGCAUAGAAAUCCAGAAAUCCUACAUGUGGGAGUAGUUAAGCAACCAUGCAGAAAGAAUGUCUUUAGAAAUCUGUCGACAUUUCUUUGACGACUACAGAUUACAACAGGGAGAACUCAUUGACAGACCUAAGCCUGAGAAUAAGCGGCUUCACUCCACUGUGCAAUGUCAAAAAAUAUUAACAUAAAUACAGACUGAUGUUUAAAUAGUGACGGUAUUUUGGGAUUUGUGCUAUGUGGAAAUAUCUCCUUUGCUUUCUUUUGACAAUUAGAUUCAUCCCACAUCUGCUUGUUGGGUUAUUUUCCCAGUGGGAUAAUUCCCUAUUGCCGUUCACUUGUGUUUUAGGAAAAACAAAUCCAAAAGUGGAAAUAGGGCCUGGGUGAGGAAAUUCAAAGCAAGCCAAAGCCAGUCUAUUAUACAUGAACAGGUUAUUUUGGUCAUUAGCAACUAUUCUUAACUUUAAUGCAGUCAGUCAUACUGGGUGAUCACAAACCCUCACAUUGGUAAAAAACAAAAAACAUUUGGACCACUGUCGAUGCAUCAAAGAUUUUAUUGUACAGGAAUUAGACUUUAGCUUCGAUGAAUAUUGGAGAACUAAACUGAUAAGUUAAAACAAACACAAUAAACAUUGUUUUUGGGAUAUAAAGGGUUCCUAACCCAAAUAGUAAACAUCUUGAGUUAGGAAUUUGUCAUGACAGUCAGAGUAGAGGCGAACCCUGGAAGAAAAGGUUGUUUUUGGUUGUGAGUGUCCAAUGAUAUCAUUGGUCAUCAGGAGUUUAUUUAAAAUUGUUGACAUCAUCCAUAUUGUGGUGCCUUACAACACACAUAAUGUUCUGUUUUCUGUCACCUUCUAUCGCAAAGUAAUUGUCAUUUUUUUACAGAACAACUGGUGAUUAAGAUUCAAACUCGAGUAAUAGUUGGGUUAUGGAUGGCCAUGUCAAGUGAUUUUUGUAUGACAAAUGCAAAAAAGAAACAGUGAUAUGACGUCAUUUCCGAGGUUAUGACUUAGCUUACUACUUUACCAUGGUACUAAUCUUAGGAACACAAGGAAUGGCUGUCUGUGGGAUCAGUAUGGCAGUGAAUGAGCAGUGAUUAUACAGUACUAAACCAAAGUUGUCUAGAUGUCAAUCAUGUCUGACUUAUGAAGUUGGCUCUCUCACGUGCACAUGGACGUGCGCACAUUCACAUACUUUACGUGUGCGCGCAUCGAAGGAAAGAAAUGAGGAAGUAGGUGCACCUGUUGAACUACUGACGUUCUAACUUGUAACAACCUGUUUAAGUGCCGGUGCUGUGAAGCUCCAUCAUGUCAGAGGCUGAGGAACACACUGUCUCUGGAGAGAUAUCUGGAGAGCUGGAGGAGCAGCAGCUCGACACAAGCACCGAAGAGGACUGUCCGCCCGACGACCGCAGUCAGUUCACCGAUGAGCAGGCUGCUGAAUGCGGAAAAGCCCGCACAGAGAGCACGGAGGGACGGGCAGCAGCAGACGCAGCGGCCGCUACUGUUACUUCAUCUCCACAACAGUUCAAAACGAAGAAGUUCUUCGUUUUGAGGCCUGGCACGCUGAAUCAGGCCAUCAAGGAUGUUGAAGGACUGGUGGAUAAAGAAGUAGAUGGAGCCAUUCAAGGUUUCUGGCUGGUGGCAGAGGUUGACCACUGGAAUAACGAAAAGGAGCGAAUUGUCCUCAUCACAGAAAACUCCCUGCUGAUCGUCAAGUACGACUUUGUCAUGUUCAACUGUGACCAAAUCCAGAGGAUCCCGCUGAACUACGUGGACCGCAUCUCCCAUGGUACCUUCAGCUUCCCCAAGCACUCACUCCUCCAGAGAUCAGGGGACGGGGUGCGCGUCUUCUGGGACCGGCUCAGAGAGCCCUCCUUCAUCUCCAGGUGGAACCCGUUUGCCACUGACUUCCCUUUCAGCACCUUCACCUACCACCCUGUGAGGAACACGAGUGACACGUUUGAGUCUCUCUGCGACGUGCUGUUUGGUGAUUCCUUCUUGACAGGCUGGCCUGGUAACUGGAGGAUUGACAGUUUGAAUCCCGGCCUUGGAAGGACUGCAACAGGACCCCAAAUUCCUCAGAUAACAGAGCAGGUGUCUUAAGACAUACUUUAAGCCACUGGAUAAUAAUAGUAAUAUUGAUGUUAAUAAUAAUAAUAGGUUGUGUUGUUAUUGUUGCUGUUGUUUUUAUUAUUAGAAUUAUUGUUGUUAUUAUUACCAUAUACUUGCUUGAAAAUAUGCCACUCUAGUAACUUGAUUCUCCAUGACCCCUUUCACCACAACCUGCCGCGCACCAGUCGACCAAUGUUGGGUGUUUUCUAUUGCAGUUGAGUGUCUCAUUGCCCUAAGACAUGGGUAGUUUACUUAAAUAGGUCAACAGUGUCAGGGAACAAUGACAAAAGCAAGACGAGCAAUUUGGUAAACAUCUGAAGAGUUGGGAAUGCACUAAUGUCUCUUCUCAGUGAACAGCAACGGGACUUAUUCAAUCAGAUGUCUCUUUUGAAGCAGAAAUAGAACAGGAUGAAAAUGCUUGAAUCUCACUUUUAGGAAUGUUACAUUUUAGUUUAGAAAAACAUAUUAAUUGGAGUUCAGACUGUGAAAAAAAUAACGUACGUCAAGGUGACAGGAGGUCAGGGAGGUCACUUCCUCUGUGUCUCCCUCCACAGGUCUAAGGUGAAACUGUAGCUGAUUUUUAACACCGUGAUGUGGAAGAUGAUCAGGAAAGUUUAAAAACUGCCCAUCGGUGCCUGUGACCCUGGAUGGCCCUGGUGAACAGGGCUGUUUUAAAUGCUUGGGGCAAGUAACAUAAGACAAAUUCUGCACUGAGACACUUUUGCUGUGCUGGCGUGGCAUGCAGGCUUCUCAUCUUUCUGGAAUUCCUUCAGAGCUCUGAUCGAUAUGCCAGCUUGGAUACCAAGCUUCUUUCCACAGGUCAUACAUCCUCAAGUCACCAUUUUCAUUUCUCCGAUGUGUGUUUGGUAAACAUGUUACACCCGUCGGAGGAAUGUUGGUUGCUAACGAGCCAAGUCCAACAGCAUUUAAAUAUUUAGUGGCACUUUCACCCUUCUUCUUACCUCUUCCAUCUGUUGCCCUCGAAACAGUGAAUACAGGAAGUGAAGACGGAGUGAAUGUGUGAGGUGUGGCCUGUGUGUGUCUGUGUGCGCGCACACCCGUGUUGUAUCACAGUAGCAUGUGUAUGUACACAGAGGUUGUUGAGGUGUUGUCUGGCUUCCUGUAAUGUGCUGGAGGUUUAGACACUGUUUUUUUAUUUAUGCCAGUCGCAGCUGUCACUGUUGUGUCUGGAGUGUGUUUACUGAACUCUGGGCUAUGGACUUGGAUUUCUGUCAGAACCACUGACCCUCCCAACUACAGAGAGCGCGACGGUCCAGAACACACCCUGGAUUCCUGUCAAAGGAAACAAAAGCCUCAGCAUUCAUGAAGUGUUUCACCUUUGGAUGACCUCUGCUUUUCUUAACGUUACUGAGAAAAGAUCAGCGAUAAAAAUGUCUUUCCUCCUGGAAAGUGUAAUUUAAGAUUAAUAUACAGAACACUGUAGAAUCAUUGCACUUGAUAAUCAUUGAACAAGACAAAAACUAAAGAAUUGUAAUACUAAAAAGACAGUAAUUUAUGUGAAAACAAAGGGGACAAGUAAAGGUUUAGCAUUAUGUUUUGUUCUGUAUUUAAAUUGGUGUCUUUCUAUUGUACAGUCAUGGGAGCCUCUAUUCAAACAACCAGGUUAAAGUUAUAUACCUACAUUGAAAAACGUUAAAAAUAUAUUAUAAACAUUAUUAUAAUAUAUACACAUAAUAUAUAUUUUAUAGGUUUUGGUACUGAUUAAAUGCAUGUAGCUGUAUGGCACGAUAUGAUUAAAUUCUAAGAGUAUAUGGUCACUAUAACUGCAUAUAGAAUUAUAUUGAUAUUAUUCUUGUUUAAAUUGCUUUUAGUCUACCAGCACUACCUUUGUAAUCUAGCAUAACUGUAACCACUAAUACUGCUACUAAUACUAUAACAACAACUACUACUAGUAAUAAUAAUAUUCAUAUUAUUAUUAUUAAUAUUAAUAGUGUGUAUUAAAACGAGGGCUGUCACAAUUACUUGAUAUUACAAUUAAGUGCGUAUUAAGUUUACAAUUAGAAUUUAUCGUUUUCCUUAAAACCGUUAGAAAGUACUAUAAGGAACUAUAAUUAAGCGCAACUCCAACGGAGCGAAAACAAAGUUGCACAACACCCGCGUUCUACCGCGUGUUUUGCUUUGUUUUCGUUCCCUGGAAGCUUCAGGUGUGGGAAAAAUGACGGAAGAAGAAUUAUUCCUCCGAAAAGUAUGAUUAUUUUUGCGACUAUGGAUGACGGACUGUCAGCAUUUAAAGCAUGGCAUUAAAAACUCAUCGGACUCAUUUGUUCGUCAAAGUACAGAAGCUGGACAGGGGGUCGGCAGUGCUGGGACUAAGCCCCGAUGACAAGCCACUGGAAUGGCUGCGGUGGAGACGCAUGAGCAGAAUCUGCAUGAGGAGGAGGACGAGGAAUGACCUGAGCUCCAAACAAACACACACAGUAGAUAACCCACAUAAUCCACAUGUUAAAAUCCCAUAACUGCGUUUAAUCUAAUACAUGUGAUAUAUUUUUAUUACUGUGGUGAAAAAAUGUGGAUUUGAUUUAUGUUGUUGAAAUGGUGGUUUAGACUUUAUGUUCAGGCUGUGUCUGUUUUAGGGUCCAGCUUUUAACGUUCACCUCUCUGCCAGAUGGAAACAAGCGUCUGUGUCUUUUACACAUGCAAAUACAGGCAUAGUGUGCUUACUGUAGUUUAGAGUACAAACUUCUACAAUAUAUCUUAAUGUGACUCAUUUGAAAGUUUCUUUUAUUUUGACAUGUUCAUUAUAUUUGAAUAUUCACCUAGCAGUCAGAAAUAAUUGAUCAUAUACAGCAGGAGUGGGCAAACAUUUUGGCUCGCAGGCCAGAAUGAAGUUCAAAAUUUGGUGGGUCGUUUUAGUAUCGGUUGGAUGCAGAAUGCUCGUUGAAAUAAUAUAAAUAAAAGCAGUUGGUUUAAACAUCGUUAAUUGUAUGGGUCAGGGUCCUGGGCUUGACCUGUUGCACAGGACACAAAAAUGCUAUCUGGUUGUGCUCCAUGACUUCUCCAGCCCCCUGUCAAGCAGCCCCUUGUCCUCAGCAACCCUCCACAGUUGGCAAAUACAGUGUGUUCUUAAUACGGCCAGUAUGUUUGAACGCAGAGGUCCCGGUAGUGGGAGAUAAAUUGAGAGCAAAGAGAUGUCAGGCUGACGACAGCUGUGGGCUACAGCCGAACCAGAUGUCUGCCAAUGUUGACCUUCAGUCGAUUCGCUCUCUCCUGCUCUUUCAAUGCACAUUGAAUAUUUUCAUAGCAGAAUUUGUCUGUCAUGCCUCCCAUGUGCUAGCGCCAUCUAAGACUCAAACUGCAGGAAAGAAACGGUGUCAGUUAGGGGCCGCUGGCUUUUGUUGAGAUGGUUCUCGUUCUAUAUCGUAAGCCUUCUGUGUAGAGUUUGCUGGUUGUACACGGUGUGCAUUCGAUUUCUUUAAGUACCUCAGCCUUAUUU